rnacentral:tRNA from 1 species
GCCUUCUUAGCUCAGUAGGCAGAGCGCGCGCCUUUUAAGCGCGUGGCCGUGGGUUCGAUCCCCACAGAAGGCA